UAUAUAUAUUUAGAUCCUUGCCGCAUUAAACUUUUUUGCUGUUGGAAGCUAUCAGCGAAGUGUAGGAAAUAAUAUGCUUUCCUGCAUUAGUCAGACAAUGGUAAGCAGGUCAAUUAGGGAAGUAAGUAAUGUCAUAGUACGACACAUAUUGCGAUUGUGGAUUCGUUUUCCUAAUAAUGUAGGAGAAAAAAUGCAGCCACAGAGAGAUUUUUACACCUGUACAACAUGCCUACAAUAUUAGGCAUUGUAUAUGGUACUCACAUUGCAAUUGUUAAACCAAAAGAAAAUGAAGAAGUAUAUGUGAAUCGUAAAGGUUACCAUAGCCUAAAUUGUCAGAUUGUAUGCAAUUCAGACUUAAAAAUAGUAAAUGUCGUGGCCAGAUGGCCUGGUAGCACACAUGACGCCUAUAUUUGGCGAAUGAGUACCUUAAGCGACAUGAUGAGAACGGGUUUUGAAGCUGGAGAGGAUUACAA